CACUGCCGAGAAAAGCCUCUAGAUAGAAAAUAGGUGCCCGUACCGCAAACCGACACAGGUAGUCAAGAUGAGAAUUCUAAGGUGAGCGAGCGAACUCUCGUUAAGGAACUCGGCAAAAUGACCCCGUAACUUCGGGAGAAGGGGUGCUCUUUAGGGUUAACGCCCAGAAGAGCCGCAGUGAAUAGGCCCAAGCGACUGUUUAUCAAAAACACAGGUCUCUGCUAAACCGUAAGGUGAUGUAUAGGGGCUGACGCCUGCCCGGUGCUGGAAGGUUAAGAGGAGUGGUUAGCUUCUGCGAAGCUACGAAUCGAAGCCCCAGUAAACGGCGGCCGUAACUAUAACGGUCCUAAGGUAGCGAAAUUCCUUGUCGGGUAAGUUCCGACCCGCACGAAAGGCGUAACGAUUUGGGCACUGUCUCAACGAGAGACUCGGUGAAAUCAUAGUACCUGUGAAGAUGCAGGUUACCCGCGACAGGACGGAAAGACCCCGUGGAGCUUUACUGUAGCCUGAUAUUGAAAUUCGGCACAGCUUGUACAGGAUAGGUAGGAG
rnacentral:rRNA from 1 species